UGCAAAAUGACCUGCUGUCAUACAGACAGAAGUUGGUUUUCCACUGGAUAACCCCAGCUACAGGUAUUUGCUGAGGAGUAGCACCACCAUGGUGUCACACCAUCAGCACAGAGGAGCACGCUGGACCACUGCAGAGGAGUGGAUCCAGGGCGUGGACCGCAGAGAACACGGAAUCUUCAUGUUGAGGGACACCCAGGGAACCAUCCAGCCGUGGCAUCCCCCCUGAAACAUGGAUUCCCUUGUCAACAUCCUGUCCCUUUUGUCAUCUACUCUUUGCUUCAGAUUUCUCUGUGGCAAAGAAUUCCAAAUGAUGGUAACAAUGACUGUUUCCAGCGAAAGUUGUAACAUUCUUUAAGAUCUUUUUCUAAUAUCGCUAGAAAGUUGAGCAAGUGAACCAUUAGGAAAUGUUGCCAAGGUCAAGAUGAAAUUAGACAAAAAACUAUUUAUAAUAAAAUUAGUGCUUUGCUGCCUGGAUCAGGAAACCGGAUCUGUCUUGUUUAAAUACACUGAACUAGAGCAAACAUUGAUCAGCCAUAGUGUAGCAUAAUGAGGCAGAUAUGUUACAUUAAUAUACUCCUUUAACUAUGAGAAGUGAUAGAAUGUUUGCCAGAAAAGGUACAACCACACCAAGCUUAAUCUACUGAAGAAAGCCUCAAUAAAAAUAUUUGAAUCAAUGAAAAUUAACUCUGAAAACACAGCUAUAACUCCUGAAGCAACAGAAGCAGCCUUGAAUGAAUUGAUAGCAACUACUUUUAUAAAAGGGAAAAAAGAGAAAAGAAAGAUUGUUACAAAAGAAUGCUCUGUACCUCUGAGAGUCUGUGUAGUGCUAUAAAUGUUUGCAGAGAAAUCCAAGACAUUGGGGGAGUUGUCAGGAACAGAACCAUUGCAGCAAAGACACAGUGGGGGCUCCAGCAGAGAGAACCCGAACACAGCUAAAUUAUAUGAACAGAUGAUAAGGAUGCCAGCGGAAUGAACCACCCUAGA